GAUAGCGCAGCUGGUAGAGCAUGAGAACUCAUAAUCUGAUGGUUGUGGGUUCGAGCCACACAUGGAACA